rnacentral:hammerhead_ribozyme from 1 species
ACCUCACUGACGAGGCCCAAAAAAGGCCGAAACAAUCGUCUGGGGU